rnacentral:rRNA from 1 species
UGAGGAAUAUUGGUCAAUGGGCGAGAGCCUGAACCAGCCAAGUAGCGUGCAGGACGACGGCCCUAUGGGUUGUAAACUGCUUUUAUGCGGGGAUAAAGUGCGGGAUGCGUCCCGUUUUGCAGGUACCGCAUGAAUAAGGACCGGCUAAUUCCGUGCCAGCAGCCGCGGUAAUACGGAAGGUCCGGGCGUUAUCCGGAUUUAUUGGGUUUAAAGGGAGCGUAGGCCGCCUUUUAAGCGUGUUGUGAAAAACCGGGGCUCAACUCCGGUCGUGCAGCGCGAACUGGAGGGCUUGAGUCCGCAGAAAGUGCGCGGAAUUCGUGGUGUAGCGGUGAAAUGCUUAGAUAUCACGAAGAACCCCGAUUGCGAAGGCAGCGCACUGUAGCGUCACUGACGCUGAAGCUCGAAAGUGCGGGGUAUCGAACAGGAUUAGAUACCCUGGUAGU